rnacentral:rRNA from 1 species
UACAGAGGCCCCAAGCGUUACUGAGAAUCAUUGGGUUUAAAGGGUGCGUAGGUGGCGCGUUAAGUCCGUUGUGAAAUCCCUGGGCUCAACCCAGGAAAUGCUUCGGAUACUGGCGUGCUUGAGGCUAGUAGGGGUCACUGGAACUGACGGUGGAGCGGUGAAAUGCGUAGAUAUCGUCAGGAACGCCAAUGGUGAAGACAGGUGACUGGGCUAGAUCUGACACUGAGGCACGAAAGCGUGGGGAGCGAACGGG